rnacentral:lncRNA from 1 species
UCACAGUCCCUCUCUCACAGACCGAGCGAACCCUCUCGCUGUCUCAUUCCUCUCCAGACGUAGUGUCCUCUCACACUCGGUCGUGGUCCGAUCCAAACGCUAUCCUCUCGCACUUGCUCUCCCGGCUGAAGUCCAGGUUGGUCUUCGUCUUCUUCUUCGUUUGAAUCCCACCAGUUAUUUGUGAUUGCCUGUAAGGUGUUUGUCUAAUUUCCUGAUCUUUGAUUUGUUUAUUGAGUUUUGUUUUAUUUUUAUGUGGAAUUAUGAUUGCCUGUAAGGUGUUCGAUGAUAUUUCUGAUGCCCUGCUAUUAUUUCUUUUGUUUUGUUAAAUUAAAUGUGUCAAUGGAGAAUUGUGAUUGCUUGGAAGGUGUUUGAUAAAGUUUCAUAGUGUUUUGUUUUGUUAAAUGUGUCGAUGAUAUUUCCUGCAAGGUGUUUGAUAAAUUUCCUGAGUGUAUUGUUAUCGUUUCGGUUGUUUGGUUUUAUGUGUCCAUGGAGUGUUGUGAUUUCCUGCGAGGUGUUUGAUAAAUUUCCUCAGUGUUUUCUUAUCGUUUUGUUCGUUUGGUUUUCUAUGUCCAUGGAGUGUUGUGAUUGCCUGUGAGUUGUUUGAUAAAUUUCCUCAGUGAUAUGUUACUAUUCCAUUUGCUUUGUUCUUAAUUGCCCGCAAGGUAUUUGAUAAAUUUCCACAGUGACUUGUUACUUCAUUUAUUUUGGUUUAUGGGUUCAUGUAAUUCAGGUUGGUUUUGUUUGGAAUUGCAGGGUUUUAGCUAAUGGCAGUUUGUGAUACUGAAUGGCAGUUUGUUUUUAGCUAAUGGCAGUUUGUUUUUAGCUCAGAUUUUCAAGCUUUGUGAUACUUAAAGCAGUUAUCAGAGACAACUACCAACCAGGGACAUUCUAAGUUUAACAAGAGCUCAAUAACAAAUAGGUAAGUUAAGUAACAUCAUUUACAUCUUUUAGAUAAUUUUUUAAAAUUUAUUCGAAACUACCAGGGAGAUUCUUAUGCAUUUUGGUUUGAUGAAGGUGCAUGGUUUAAUCUCAUUUGGACUUUUUUUAUUGGUAUUCAAUUGACUUGAUUAUAUUCUGAGAUAAAUAUGUGUUUGACUUUGAUAUAAUAUAUGUGCAUGCAUGAUCAGAUAGUGCCCAUUUCCAUUAGUAUGAUCUUGCAAUGAAUCAAAUUCAGAUGUUUUUUUGGUCAAAUUGUGAUUAGAUCAACGCAUAAUUGAUAACAGUGUUAUCUUAUGUGAUUCUGAUCAAGAGUGGAACGAGGAAUUUUUAAUAGGGUGCUUACUAGUUAGCUAACUUUUUUGCAAGUGAGAUCGGGUUUGAUGAAGGUGCAUGCUUUAAUCUCAUUUUGACUUUGAUAUAAUAUAUGUGUUUAUGGAUCAGUUUAUGGAAUGUGUGUGAUAUAUUAUGGAAUGGAUCAAUUUAUGGAUCAAUUAACAUGCUUUAAUCUCAUAUGAAUAUUAUAUAUAUGCUGAACUGUGUUGUGAUAUAUUAUUGUGCAUUGUCAGGAUGGACAAGUCUGGUAGUAGUGGUAGUGGUAGCCAAUCAUAAUCUACUAGUACACCUCGGAUCUCUGUUUUAAUAAAACGAAAGCCACAGUACAUUCAAACUGAAGAAUACUAUGAAGAUUAUUGUGAUGAUGAUCCGGAUAUAGAUGCUGAUAUAGGGUUAGAAGAAAUAGAUAUAGAGGAAGAAAUAGAGGAAGAAGAAGGUGAGGAGGAUAGUGUUGAAUUGGACACGCAACAUAUGCCUUCGGUGGCCACAUUAGCAAGUAGGGUGGGUCAACGGAAAAAAAGUAAUAGGACUAAGGGGCCAAGUCCGGCUUGGAAUGAUGCCAUUAAGGUAAAUGUGACCGAUGAAUUUGGAAAUAAAACGGUUAUGGCGGAGUGCAAUCAUUGCAAAAUUCAAGUGCCGGCGGAGUCCUCUAGACAUGGGACGAAAGGUAUUCUUAAUCAUUUGAAGAAAUGCCCGGAGUCUAGUCUCUACGAGGCUCCGGAUUCGAAACAACCAUUGUUGUCACAAGGGGUGAUGGGCGGUCAAGUUGUUGCUCACACUUUCAAUCAAAAAAGACUUGAUAUGAAAUGUGUGAAGUGGAUAAUAAAAGCGGAGAUGCCUUUUAGGGCGGUUGAUCAAGAGGACUUUAGAGAUUGGAUCCAUGACUUGAAUCCAAAGUACAAGCUUCCAAAUAGGCACAAGGUGGCGGCGGCGGUUUUAGAAUUGUAUUUUACUGAGAUGGAAAAAAUCAAGAGGGUGGUUGAUGGUUUGAGGGUGAGUAUCACUACCGAUACUUGGACCUCAAUCCAAAAUAUUAAUUACAUGGUGGUGACGGCACAUUUUUUGGAUAAUGAUUGGGUUUUGCAUAAGAGGAUUCUAAAUUUUGUUCAAAUUACGUCUCACAAGGGUGAUGAUAUUGGGAGGUGUUUAGAGGUAUGCUUGAAUAAAUGGGGCAUAGACAAGGUAUUUAGCAUUACGGUUGACAAUGCUAGUGCCAAUGACACCACCAUUGCAUACAUGAAGAGAAGACUCAAGUCCAAUGGUACUCUUUUACUUGACGGGGCUCACUUGCACAUGAGGUGUGCUUGUCACAUCCUCAAUUUGAUAGUUAAAGAUGGAAUGACGGAGCUUAGUCGUGAGAUUGAAGGGAUAAGGAAUUGUGUCAAGUUCAUACAUUCAUCCCCUGCAAGGUUGGAGACUUUUAGGGAGUAUUGCAUCUUGAUGAGAUUUGAUAAGAUGUCGAAUAUUCCCUUUGAUGUUGUCACAAGGUGGAAUGCCACCUAUGAAAUGCUCAAUAGUGCAUUCAAAUUUAAGCAAGUGUUUGCAAGGAUGGCGGAUGAGUGCAACACUUUCAUCUCUUACUUUCAAGAGGAGGUAUCUAAAGAGAUUAAUGGGGUCACAACCAAGGUGAAACGGGUGGGUCCUCCAAUGGUGGAAGAUUGGGAGAGGGCGGUGAGUUUUGCUCACUUUCUUAAAAAGUUUUAUGAUGCCACCUUGACACUUAGUGCAACCCUAACUCCAACUUCAAACUUAAUACUUGGCACGGUGAUUGCAUUGCAAGUGGAGAUAGAAGAAAAGAUUUGCAAUUCCUCUAAUGCCACUUUGCAAAAUGUGGCAACUUCCAUGAAGCUUAAGUUUGACAAGUAUUGGGGGGACAUUGAAAAGGUUAACCCUAUACUCUUUAUAGCCCAAGCACUCGACCCGAGGUACAAGUUUGAAAUGUUGGAGGCAAGCCUAGAGGAACUCCGCUAUUCAUGUGAGGCAAUCUUGGAUGUGAAGACAAGUAUUAAAAAAAAUUUGACAGAUUUGUAUAAGGCGUAUAAGGAGGGAGAUGUUUCUAGUAGUAGUAGUAGUGUUACCAUGGAUCAAAGGCCAAGUGUUGUGGUAGAUGAUUCUUCGGGAUUGGAAGAUGAUGUUGCUACAAGAAUGCAAAGGAAAAUCCAACAAAAAAGAGCGGCGGCCCAACAAAACGAGAUAUCCAAUGAAGUGGAUAUGUAUUUCAAUGAUCCUCACCAAAGCUUAACAUAUGAAGGUUUCAAUAUUUUGGAUUGGUGGAAAGUCAAUAUUGGAACAUAUCCAACUCUUAGUAAGGUUGCUAAGGACAUUUUUGCUCUUCCUAGUAGCACCGUUGCUAGUGAGAAUGCUUUUAGCCUUGGUGGGAGAGUUGUAGAUCCUUUUAGAGCCUCUCUAACACCGAGAACAGUUGAGGCUUUGGUGUGUACAAGUGAUUGGCUAAGGGGGAAUGAAAUGUCUUUCUACAAGGAGCCUACAAUUGACGACCUUAUGUUCUACAAGGAACUUGAAGACUUGGAGAAGGGUAAGUGAAGUAUUUGAUUUCAUGUUUUCAUUUUCUUAGUUUUAUAAUUUAUGCAUUCACUUUCUAAAUAUAUUUUGUGUUUUAUUGUUUUUAAUUUUAUCGUUUUAGAGUUGCCUAAUAUGGGAAUGGGAGGUGAGGAGAAUCCCACACAAAGUGAAAUGCCACCUCCUCCACCACUUCAAGUUCAACGCCGCCCAUCACUACCUCCACGACCACCCAUUUCAAGAGCAUCAACACCAACACAAAGGAGGGUUCAAUUAUCAACAAGAGGAAGGGGUCCACCAUCAACACCAACAUCAACGGGCCAUUCAUCAACAAGGGGAAGGGGUCGAAGGGGCUAAAGGGAAUGAAUGAACUUAAUAUAAACUAUGUUUUGCUUUUGGAUUGUAACUUAAUCUAAAUUCAUUUGGAGUUUGGUUUGUAAAACCUAACUUAUUUCAUUUUGGUUGCAUGCACUUUUAAUUAACUAGUUUGGUAGACAAUUUGGAAGUUUGGUUUGUAAAAC